UACAGGCUUAACACAUGCAAGUCGAGGGGCAGCAUGGUCUUUUCUUGCUAAGGCCGAUGGCGACCGGCGCACGGGUGAGUAACACGUAUCCAACCUGCCGUCUACUCUUGGACAGCCUUCUGAAAGGAAGAUUAAUACAAGAUGGCAUCAUGAGUCCGCAUGUUCACAUGAUUAAAGGUAUUCCGGUAGACGAUGGGGAUGCGUUCCAUUAGAUAGUAGGCGGGGUAACGGCCCACCUAGUCUUCGAUGGAUAGGGGUUCUGAGAGGAAGGUCCCCCACAUUGGAACUGAGACACGGUCCAAACUCCUACGGGAGGCAGCAGUGAGGAAUAUUGGUCAAUGGGCGAGAGCCUGAACCAGCCAAGUAGCGUGAAGGAUGACUGCCCUAUGGGUUGUAAACUUCUUUUAUAAAGGAAUAAAGUCGGGUAUGCAUACCCGUUUGCAUGUACUUUAUGAAUAAGGAUCGGCUAACUCCGUGCCAGCAGCCGCGGUAAUACGGAGGAUCCGAGCGUUAUCCGGAUUUAUUGGGUUUAAAGGGAGCGUAGAUGGAUGUUUAAGUCAGUUGUGAAAGUUUGCGGCUCAACCGUAAAAUUGCAGUUGAUACUGGAUAUCUUGAGUGCAGUUGAGGCAGGCGGAAUUCGUGGUGUAGCGGUGAAAUGCUUAGAUAUCACGAAGAACUCCGAUUGCGAAGGCAGCCUGCUAAGCUGCAACUGACAUUGAGGCUCGAAAGUGUGGGUAUCAAACAGGAUUAGAUACCCUGGUAGUCCACACGGUAAACGAUGAAUACUCGCUGUUUGCGAUAUACAGCAAGCGGCCAAGCGAAAGCGUUAAGUAUUCCACCUGGGGAGUACGCCGGCAACGGUGAAACUCAAAGGAAUUGACGGGGGCCCGCACAAGCGGAGGAACAUGUGGUUUAAUUCGAUGAUACGCGAGGAACCUUACCCGGGCUUAAAUUGCAGAUGAAUUACGGUGAAAGCCGUAAGCCGCAAGGCAUCUGUGAAGGUGCUGCAUGGUUGUCGCCAGCUCGUGCCGUGAGGUGUCGGCUUAAGUGCCAUAACGAGCGCAACCCUUGUUGUCAGUUACUAACAGGUUCCGCUGAGGACUCUGACAAGACUGCCAUCGUAAGAUGUGAGGAAGGUGGGGAUGACGUCAAAUCAGCACGGCCCUUACGUCCGGGGCUACACACGUGUUACAAUGGGGGGUACAGAGGGCCGCUACCACGCGAGUGGAUGCCAAUCCCCAAAACCUCUCUCAGUUCGGACUGGAGUCUGCAACCCGACUCCACGAAGCUGGAUUCGCUAGUAAUCGCGCAUCAGCCACGGCGCGGUGAAUACGUUCCCGGGCCUUGUACACACCGCCCGUCAAGCCAUGGGAGCCGGGGGUACCUGAAGUGCGUAACCGCGAGGAGCGCCCUAGGGUAAAACUGGUGACUGGGGC
rnacentral:rRNA from 1 species